UUUUUACCAUCAUCGACUCGCGACUUCUAGGAGACGCGAUUCUUUGAGACAAAAGUUAUUACAACUUUCAGCAAUGGAUCUCUUGGCUCUCGCAUCGAUGAAGAACGCAGCGAAUCGCGAUAUGUAAUGUGAAUUGCAGAUCUACAGUGAAUCAUCGAAUCUUUGAACGCACCUUGCGCUUAUCGGUGUUCCGAUGAGCAUGCCUGUUUGAGCGUCAUUAAAUUCUCAACCCCUCUCGAUUNGCUUCGAGAGGGUGCUUGGAUAGUGGAGGCUGCCGGAGACCUGUUUUUUCAGGACUCGGGCUCCUCUGAAAUGUAUUGGCUUGCGGUCGACUUUCGACUGUGCAUGACAAGGCCUUUGGCGUGAUAAUGAUCGCCGCUCGCCGAAGUGCACGAACGAAUGGUCUCGUGCCCCUAAUCAGUCGAUGUCUUUUCGAAGGCGUCUUCCUUAUUGACGUUGACCUC
rnacentral:rRNA from 1 species